rnacentral:rRNA from 1 species
UACGUAGGGUGCGAGCGUUAAUCGGAAUUACUGGGCGUAAAGCGUGCGCAGGCGGUUUUGUAAGCCAGAUGUGAAAUCCCCGAGCUCAACUCGGGAACUGCGUCCGAUACUGGCGGGCUUGAAUCCGGGAGAGGGAUGCGGAAUUCCAGGUGUAGCGGUGAAAUGCGUAGAUAUCAGGAGGAACACCAGCGGCGAAGGCGCUGCUCUGGGCCGGUACUGACGCUGAGGAGCGAAAGCGUGGGGAGCGAACAGG